CCUACGGGUGGCAGCAGUGAGGAAUAUUGGUCAAUGGACGAGAGUCUGAACCAGCCAAGCAGCGUGAAGGAUGAAUGCCCUAUGGGUUGUAAACUUCUUUUAUAUGGGAAUAAAAUGUUCCACGUGUGGGAUUUUGUAUGUACCAUAUGAAUAAGGAUCGGCUAACUCCGUGCCAGCAGCCGCGGUAAUACGGAGGAGCCGAGCGUUAUCCGGAUUUAUUGGGUUUAACGGGAGCGUAGGUGGAUGGUUAAGUCAGUUGUGAAAGUUUGGGGCUCAACCGUAAAAUUGCAGUUGAAACUGGCAGUCUUGAGUACAGUAGAGGUGGGCGGAAUUCGUGGUGUAGCGGUGAAAUGCUUAGAUAUCACGAAGAACUCCGAUUGCGAAGGCAGUUCACUGGACUGCAACUGACACUGAGGCUCGAAAGUGUGGGUAUCAAACAGGAUUAGAUACCCCGGUAGUC
rnacentral:rRNA from 1 species